GGAUUCCCCAGCAGAUCCGCAUCUCAGGCAGCCUGGUGGCCAUUGGGCUGGUGUUUUUAGUCACCGCGAUCAUGGUGAAGGUUCCCAUGGAGCCUCUGCCUUUCUUCGUCUUUACCAUGAUCAGCAUUGUCUUCAUUAACUCCUUUGGUGCCAUCCUCCAGAGCAGCCUCUUUGGGCUGGCAGGGCUCCUGCCUGCCAGCUACACAGCUCCCAUCAUGAGCGGGCAGGGCUUGGCAGGCACCUUUGCUGCUUUGGCGAUGAUCUUCAGUAUUGCCAUUGGUGCCCAGCAGCCUGAGAGCUUCAUCGGUUACUUCACCACGGCCUGUGUGGCGAUCGUGCUGGCAAUCUUCUCCUACAUCCUUCUGCCUCGCAUGGAUUUCUUCCGAUACUACUCCAUGAAGGACAAGACUGAGUACAGUGUGUACAAUGCAGAGCUGGAGACCAAGAGAGACCUGAUUAAAAAAGAUGAGCCCAAUGGGAUGGAGCAGAAUAACUCAAAGAUCAUCCCUCCCCACAACCCUGAUGAGAAGCCCUCGGUCAUUGCUAUUUUUAAGAAGCUCUGGGUCAUGGCUGUGUCUGUCUGCUUCGUCUUCACUGUCACCAUUGGCGUCUUUCCAUCCGUCACAGCUAAGGUGUCCACUGUCCUCGGAGAGGGAAACAAAUGGGAUUUAUACUUCAUCCCUGUCUCCUGCUUCCUGCUCUUUAAUGUCUUCGACUGGACAGGACGGAGUCUCACUGCCCUCUUCACAUGGCCCGGGAAGGACAGCUGCCUCCUGCCAGUGAUGGUGGCCCUCCGUGUCAUCUUUAUCCCUCUUUUCAUGCUGUGCAACGUGCAACCCCGUGGCUACCUGCCUGUCGUAUUCUCUCACGACGCCUGGUACAUCACCUUCAUGAUCUUCUUCUCCAUCUCCAACGGCUACCUGGCCAGCCUCUGCAUGUGCUUUGGGCCCAAAUGCCCGAGCAAAUGCAGCGCGAUCAGGAGGAUGCGGAGACGUUCGCCUUCCAGGCGGAGAUCGCCCAGCUCAUGUCGCUCAUCAUCAACACCUUCUACUCCAACAAGGAGAUCUUUCUGCGGGAGCUCAUCUCCAACGCCUCUGACGCACUGGAUAAGAUCCGCUACGAGAGCCUGACUGACCCCUCAAAGCUGGACAGCGGUAAAGAGCUCAAGAUUGACAUAGUCCCCAACCCCCGGGAGCGCACCCUCACCUUGGUGGACACUGGAAUUGGUAUGACAAAAGCAGAUCUCAUCAACAACCUGGGCACCAUUGCCAAAUCCGGGACCAAAGCCUUCAUGGAAGCACUGCAGGCUGGUGCAGACAUUUCCAUGAUUGGGCAGUUCGGUGUGGGUUUCUAUUCUGCCUAUCUAGUGGCUGAGAAGGUGGUUGUCAUUACCAAACACAACGAUGAUGAGCAGUAUGCUUGGGAGUCGUCAGCUGGGGGCUCCUUCACUGUCCGAACUGACCACGGCGAGCCCAUUGGACGGGGCACCAAAGUGAUCCUGCAUUUGAAGGAGGACCAGACAGAGUACUUGGAGGAGCAGCGUGUCAAAGAGGUGGUGAAGAAGCACUCCCAGUUCAUUGGCUACCCCAUCACACUCUAUACGGAGAAGGAGCGUGAGAAAGAGAUCAGUGGUGAUGAGGCAGAGGAGGAGAAAGAUGAGAAGGAAGAGGAAGAGUCAGUGUCCAAAGAUGAGAAACCCAAAAUCGAAGAUGUGGGCUCUGAUGAGGAGGAAGAGGAAGGAAGUAAAGGCAAGAAGAAGACGACCAAGAAAAUCAAGGAGAAAUAUAUUGACCAGGAGGAGCUGAACAAGACCAAGCCUAUUUGGACACGCAACCCUGACGACAUCACCCAGGAGGAGUAUGGCGAGUUCUACAAGAGCCUUACCAACGACUGGGAGGACCACCUGGCUGUCAAGCACUUCUCUGUGGAAGGGCAGCUGGAGUUCAGGGCCCUGCUCUUCAUCCCGCGCCGUGCCCCUUUUGACCUCUUUGAGAACAAGAAGAAGAAGAAUAACAUUAAGCUGUAUGUGAGGCGUGUCUUCAUCAUGGACAGCUGUGAUGAGCUAAUCCCUGAGUACCUAAACUUCAUCCGGGGUGUUGUGGACUCCGAGGACCUGCCUCUGAACAUCUCUCGUGAGAUGCUCCAACAGAGCAAGAUCCUCAAGGUGAUCCGCAAAAACAUAGUGAAGAAAUGCUUGGAGCUCUUCUCCGAGCUGGCAGAGGACAAGGAGAACUACAAGAAAUUUUACGAGGCUUUUUCCAAGAAUCUGAAGCUGGGCAUCCACGAGGACUCGACCAACCGGAAGCGCCUUUCGGAGCUGCUGCGUUACCACACAUCCCACUCGGGUGAUGAGAUGGCUUCGCUUGCAGAGUAUGUGUCCCGUAUGAAGGACAGCCAGAAGAGUAUCUACUACAUCACAGGGGAGAGUAAGGAGCAGGUUGCCAACUCAGCCUUCGUGGAGCGUGUGAGGAAGCGUGGCUUUGAGGUGGUGUACAUGACGGAGCCCAUUGACGAGUACUGUGUGCAGCAGCUCAAGGAGUUUGAUGGCAAGACCCUGGUAUCGGUCACCAGAGAGGGGCUGGAGCUGCCUGAGGAUGAGGAGGAGAAAAAGAAGAUGGAGGAGAGCAAGGCCAAGUUUGAAACCCUCUGCAAACUCAUGAAGGAGAUCCUGGACAAGAAGGUGGAGAAGAGGAGCCGCUAAAGGAGACUGGAGAUCCCAGCAUGCACCAUCUUGCUCUAAGCAGCCAGGCUGCAGGUGACUGUCUCAAACCGGUUGGUCUCCUCUCCCUGCUGCAUCGUCACCAGCACCUAUGGUUGGACAGCCAACAUGGAGCGCAUCAUGAAGGCUCAGGCACUGCGGGACAACUCUACCAUGGGCUACAUGAUGGCCAAGAAGCACUUGGAGAUCAACCCUGACCACCCAAUUGUGGAAACCCUCCGCCAGAAGGCUGCUGCUGACAAGAAUGACAAAGCUGUUAAAGAUCUGGUGGUGCUACUCUUUGAGACUGCUCUGCUCUCCUCUGGCUUCUCCCUGGAAGAUCCCCAGACCCACUCCAACUGCAUCUACAGGAUGAUCAAACUGGGGCUUGGCAUUGAUGAAGAUGAGGUGACUGCAGAGGUACCCAGUGCAGCUGCCCCAGAUGAAAUUCCCCCUCUGGAGGGAGAUGAAGAUACAUCCCGCAUGGAAGAGGUAGACUAAAGCAGGAGGAAGCCUCUUCCCUCACCUGCCAGGCCUAUGCCCCGUAUCAUGUCUGCUUAGAAGCGGGUCUGCUCCCACCAGCUGCUACUGACUCCCUGGUGGUGUCUGUUUUCUUGGAUUUGCUUGGCUGGGGUUGUUUUUGGCAGGGUGCAGGAGGUCAUCAUUCCCUCUUUGUCAGUAGCGAGUGAUUGAGGCAGCCUGAGGCAUGUCUCUUCUAUGUCUUUCUGCUUGAGUAGGAACAGCUGAUGGGGAGCGGAGGUGAGGAGGCAUCAGGCUUCUCUGUCCCAGCCAUGGGGUCUCCCAUGUUCCCAGUAGGCAUCAAACCUUGUUCCACUGGUGUGGGAGAGCCCUUCCUCUGAGCUGCUGCUUCUCUGACCUCCAGAGUAGGAGACUGUAUUUCAGUUAUGUUUUGUUUAUUUUCCUAGGGUUUUUAUGUUCUUCUGAAAUUAAAGUAUCAAAGAAAGUGAUUUA